UGGGGAAUAUUGGACAAUGGGGGCAACCCUGAUCCAGCCAUGCCGCGUGUGUGAAGAAGGCCUUUUGGUUGUAAAGCACUUUAAGCAGUGAAGAAGACUUCAUGGUUAAUACCCAUGGACGAUGACAUUAGCUGCAGAAUAAGCACCGGCUAACUCUGUGCCAGCAGCCGCGGUAAUACAGAGGGUGCAAGCGUUAAUCGGAAUUACUGGGCGUAAAGCGAGCGUAGGUGGCUUGAUAAGUCAGAUGUGAAAGCCCCGGGCUUAACCUGGGAACGGCAUCUGAUACUGUUAGGCUAGAGUAGGUGAGAGGAAGGUAGAACUCCAGGUGUAGCGGUGAAAUGCGUAGAGAUCUGGAGGAAUACCGAUGGCGAAGGCAGCCUUCUGGCAUCAUACUGACACUGAGGUUCGAAAGCGUGGGUAGCAAACAG
rnacentral:rRNA from 1 species